GAUGAACGCUGGCGGCGUGCCUAAUACAUGCAAGUCGAGCGAACAGAUGAGGAGCUUGCUCCUCUGACGUUAGCGGCGGACGGGUGAGUAACACGUGGAUAACCUACCUAUAAGACUGGGAUAACUUCGGGAAACCGGAGCUAAUACCGGAUAAUAUAUUGAACCGCAUGGUUCAAUAGUGAAAGACGGUUUUGCUGUCACUUAUAGAUGGAUCCGCGCCGCUUUAGCUAGUUGGUAAGGUAACGGCUUACCAAGGCAACGAUGCGUAGCCGACCUGAGAGGGUGAUCGGCCACACUGGAACUGAGACACGGUCCAGACUCCUACGGGAGGCAGCAGUAGGGAAUCUUCCGCAAUGGGCGAAAGCCUGACGGAGCAACGCCGCGUGAGUGAUGAAGGUCUUCGGAUCGUAAAACUCUGUUAUUAGGGAAGAACAAAUGUGUAAGUAACUAUGCACGUCUUGACGGUACCUAAUCAGAAAGCCACGGCUAACUACGUG
rnacentral:rRNA from 1 species